CCCUUAGAUGUUCUGGGCCGCACGCGCGCUACACUGAUGCAUUCAACGAGUCCAAAACCUGCUCUGAUAGGGGUGGGUAAUCUUUUGAAUGUGCAUCGUGAUUGGGAUAGAUGAUUGCAAUUUUUCAUCUUCAACGAGGAAUGCCUAGUAAACGCAAGUCAUCAGCUUGCAUUGAUUACGUCCCUGCCCUUUGUACACACCGCCCGUCGCUCCUACCGAUUGAAUGAUCCGAUGAAUAUCAUGGAUUGAGGAUGCAAGCAGGUUCGCCUGUCUUCAUCUUCGAGAAGUGAAGUAAAUCUUAUCAUUUAGAGGAAGGAGAAGUCGUAACA
rnacentral:rRNA from 1 species